UACGAAGGGGGCUAGCGUUGUUCGGAUUCAUUGGGCGUAAAGGGUGCGUGGGCGGCGCGGUAAGUCGGGUGUGAAAUCUUGGAGCUUAACUCCGAAACUGCAUUCGAUACUGCCGUGCUUGAGGACUGGAGAGGAGACUGGAAUUUACGGUGUAGCGGUGAAAUGCGUAGAUAUCGUAAGGAAGACCAGUGGCGAAGGCGGGUCUCUGGACAGUUCCUGACGCUGAGGCACGAAGGUCAGGGGAGCAAACGGG
rnacentral:rRNA from 1 species